GUGCAGAUCAUCCAGCGAGGCUAGGCCUGCAGUGGCUCCGCCCUCUCCUGUUGGUCUGCUAUAGUAAUGGAGGUGGUUUGAGGCCCUGUUGUGGUUCUGCACAGCUGGGUUAUAGGUAAACCUCCGACAUGU
rnacentral:snoRNA from 12 species